UACGUAGGGGGCUAGAGUUGUCCGGAUUUACUGGGUGUAAAGGGUGCUCAGGCGGACUUGUAAGUCAGAGGUGAAAUACCGAAGCUCAACUUCGGCACUGCCUUUGAAACUGCAAGCCUUGAGUUUGAGAGAGGGUAAUGGAAUAUCUAGUGUAGCAGUGAAAUGCGUAGAUAUUAGAUAGAACACCAAUGGCGAAGGCAGUUACCUGGCUCAAAACUGACGCUAAAGCACGAAAGUGUGGGGAGCAAACAGG
rnacentral:rRNA from 1 species